AUACGGAGGGUGCAAGCGUUACUCGGAAUCACUGGGCGUAAAGCGCGCGCAGGCGGCCAUUUAAGUUGGAUGUGAAAGCCUACGGCUCAACCGUAGAACUGCAUCCAAAACUAUUUGGCUAGAGUGUGGGAGAGGAAGAUGGAAUUAGUUGUGUAGGGGUAAAAUCCGUAGAGAUAACUAGGAAUACCAAAAGCGAAGGCAAUCUUCUGGAACACUACUGACGCUGAGGCGCGAAAGCGUGGGGAGCAAACGGGAUUAGAAACCCGAGUAGUCC
rnacentral:rRNA from 1 species